CCUUUUGGGGCCAUUGGCGUAGAGAGGGGGGAUCCGAUUUUCGGAUCGGCGCCGAAGGCGCCCAACCCUACUCGAUUUUUAUGAAAAACCACUCUUUUUAUUAGGAUUACUGGCUAAAACCGUACAAGUAAGGUAGUUUGGUUGGGGCGACCGCCUUCGAAAAAGUAUCGAAGGCGUACAUAAGAUUAAUCCGGGGGGGGUGUCCUUUUUUCACCCCCAAACAAACCGGGGGUAAUGCCCCAAAAAAGAUUAGUUUGACUGAGAGGGCUACAACCCGAACAGGCGCUUGGGGAUCGUUAGGAU
rnacentral:rRNA from 10 species